CCGCGUCACCCUCAGGAACGGGGGAACCGAAACUCGCAGCCCCGGGGGACCGGGUGGCCGGCAAACGGCCCACCGAGGCACCUCCGACAUGGCUCUGGGCGCCCGCAGAAAGGCCGGGUUGCUAAAAAACGACGCCGCAGUGCCUCCGGCUUGGGUGGAAAAGCAGCUUUCGUCCCGCCUCGGUCCACCCCAGACACCCUGACACCGGCCGUUUCCCCAGGGCGACCCGUGCUCAGAGGCAGGAGCUGCUGCUCCGGUCGUCCACGCUUUGAGAGAAACCUAGGGAGUGUAAUAAAUAAUAUAAAAUACCUAGGGGUGGACCGUGAAAAUGGGCUAUGGGGACACUGUGAUAGUGCUUAAAAAUAAGCAAUCGAGAGGGAACAGGAGUACUGCUGGAGCCCAAAAAUGCCCAAAUUAGGAAUAUCGGGACAUCCGAUCUACAGCAAAUGCAGAGGAAAAAGAACUUUAAAUCCUAAGGAUGACCAAUGAAGAUCUCCGACGUAAAAGCUGGACAUUUCGGAACCCAAUCAUGGACUAUGUUCAGGCGUGUGGACAGCAUUGAAAUCUUAUAUAAGGCGGGAAAUAGAAGGCCAAAGUGUGCCGUGGCGGAACUACUGUGUUUCCCCGGUCACCCAGCGCUGUUUUGCUCAUUUGCCGCUUGCUAAAUGUCUUUAUUUUAUGUUAAACAUUAAUUAAUAAAUUCCUUUAUAGAAGAAAA